CCCUAGCCCCGAUAGUAGCGACAUCCUUUUGUGAUGAGGUACGAAGAGCAAAAGAUAUAGCGGAUAGCGGGAUUAUGC
rnacentral:sRNA from 1 species